AAUAGAUACCCCGGUAGUCCACGCCCUAAACGAUGCUCACUAGGUGUUGGGGAAGCGAUUCCUUGGUACCGUAGCUAACGCGUGAAGUGAGCCGCCUGGGGAGUACGGCCGCAAGGUUAAAACUCAAAGGAAUUGACGGGGACCCGCACAAGCGGUGGAUGAUGUGGAUUAAUUCGAUGCAACGCGAACAACCUUACCUACCCUUGACAUGUCCGGAAGCCUGCUGAAAGGCGGGGGUGCUCGAAAGAGAACCGGAACACAGGUGCUGCAUGGCUGUCGUCAGCUCGUGUCGUGAGAUGUUGGGUUAAGUCCCGCAACGAGCGCAACCCUUGUCCCUAGUUGCUACGCAAGGGCACUCUAGGGAGACUGCCGGUGACAAACCGGAGGAAGGUGGGGAUGACGUCAAGUCCUCAUGGCCCUUAUGGGUAGGGCUUCACACGUCAUACAAUGGACGGUACAGAGGGUUGCCAACCCGCGAGGGGGAGCCAAUCCCAGAAAGCCGUUCGUAGUCCGGAUCGCAGUCUGCAACUCGACUGCGUGAAGUCGG
rnacentral:rRNA from 1 species